AAUAGAACCCGGGUAGUCCACGCCGUAAACGAUGAGUGCUAAGUGUUAGGGGGUUUCCGCCCCUUAGUGCUGCAGCUAACGCAUUAAGCACUCCGCCUGGGGAGUACGGUCGCAAGACUGAAACUCAAAGGAAUUGACGGGGGCCCGCACAAGCGGUGGAGCAUGUGGUUUAAUUCGAAGCAACGCGAAGAACCUUACCAGGUCUUGACAUCCCAUUGACCGCUAUGGAGACAUAGCUUUCCCUUCGGGGACAGUGGUGACAGGUGGUGCAUGGUUGUCGUCAGCUCGUGUCGUGAGAUGUUGGGUUAAGUCCCGCAACGAGCGCAACCCUUGUUCUUAGUUGCCAUCAUUUAGUUGGGCACUCUAAGGAGACUGCCGGUGACAAACCGGAGGAAGGUGGGGAUGACGUCAAAUCAUCAUGCCCCUUAUGACCUGGGCUACACACGUGCUACAAUGGACGGUACAAACGGUUGCCAACCCGCGAGGGGGAGCUAAUCCGAUAAAACCGUUCUCAGUUCGGAUUGUAGGCUGCAACUCGCCUACA
rnacentral:rRNA from 1 species